rnacentral:rRNA from 1 species
CCUACGGGAGGCAGCAGUGGGGAAUAUUGCACAAUGGGCGCAAGCCUGAUGCAGCAACGCCGCGUGGAGGAUGAAGUCCCUUGGGACGUAAACUCCUUUCGACUGGGAAGAUAAUGACGGUACCAGUGGAAGAAGCCCCGGCUAACUUCGUGCCAGCAGCCGCGGUAAU